rnacentral:rRNA from 1 species
UGACCUCUGACCUCAAAUCAGGUAGGACUACCCGCUGAACUUAAGCAUAUCAAUAGG